rnacentral:rRNA from 1 species
GAAAGUAAGUCAGGGCGCAUGGUGGAUGCCUUGGCUCACGGAGGCGAUGAAGGACGUGAUAAGCUGCGAUAAGCUGCGGGUAGGAGCAAAUAUCCCUUGAUCCGCGGAUUUCCGAAUGGGACAACCCAUCAGGCUGAAGGCCUGUUAUCCCUGCGUAGGCAGGGAGGCUAACCGAGGGAACUGAAACAUCUUAGUACCUCGAGGAAGAGAAAAUAACAAUGAUUCCCCCAGUAGUGGCGAGCGACCGGGGAAGAGCCCAAACCUGCUUUGUGGCAACGCAUGGCAGGGGUUGUAGGACCGCGCCGUGGUACUUGCAAUGUGAGAAGAAGUAUCUGGAAAGUUACAUCAUAGAAGGUGAUAAUCCUGUAUUCGAAACUACUGCGAGACCUAGCGGUAUCCUGAGUAACGCGGGACACGUGUAAUCCUGCGCGAAUCCGCCGGGCCCAUCCGGCAAGGCUAAAUACUCCCGUGAGACCGAUAGCGUACCAGUACCGUGAGGGAAAGGUGAAAAGUACCCCUAUAAGGGGAGUGAAAGAGUACCUGAAACCAUGCGCCUACAAGCGGUCGGAGCUGCUAUAAGCAGUGACGGCGUGCCUUUUGCAUAAUGAACCUACGAGUUACCGUCACAGGCGAGGUUAAGGAAGACGACUUCCCGAGCCGCAGUGAAAGCGAGGCUGAACAGGCCGUAUAGUCUGUGGAGGUAGACGCGAAACCGAGUGAUCUACACAUGUCCAGGAUGAAGUCCCGGUAACACGGGAUGGAGGUCCGCACCGAUAAGCGUUGAAAAGCUUCCGGAUGAGGUGUGUGUAGGAGUGAAAGGCCAAUCAAACUCGGAGAUAGCUCGUACUCCCCGAAAGGCAUUUAGGUGCCGCGUCACAUGAUCUGUAUGAGAGGUAGAGCGACCGAUAGGUCAAGAGGGCUUCACCGCCUAUCGCGACCUGACGAACUCCGAAUGCUCAUACACCGCAGUGUGGCAGUAAGGGGGCGGGUGCUAAGGUCCGUCCCCGAGAGGAGAAGAAUCCAGACCGCCGUCUAAGGUCCCCAAGUUCUGUCUGAGUUAGUCUAACGAAGUGUGGUCUCCGUGACAGCUAGGAUGUUGGCUUGGAAGCAGCCAUUCAUUCAAAGAGUGCGUAACAGCUCACUAGUCGAGAGACCGUGCAUGGAUAAUAAUCGGGUAUAAGACAGGCACCGAAGUCGCGGGAUAGUAAUGAUAAAAGUAUCGGUAGGGGAGCAUUCCUGCGGCGUUGAAUGUGACAGGACGACUGUCCCUGGAGCUUCAGGAAAAGCAAAUGUAGGUAUAAGUAACGAUUAGGGGUGUGAGAUCCACCCCCGCCGUACGACUAAGGUUUCCCGGGCAAUGUUAAUCAUCCCGGGGUAAGUCGGGUCCUAAGUCUAAGCCGAACGGCGAAGGCGAUGGCUGACACGGUCAAUAUUCCGUGACUUCCUUAUGGAGUGACGUGGAGACGCAGUCGUGACACUGCCGCGGGGAAACGGAAUUCCCCGUUAAAGGAUGUAGGCAUUGAGGGAGGCAGGCAAAUCCACCUCCCGAGCUGAACUCCGAGAGUACGGCACUCUCUCCGGAGAGCGCCGACAGCGCAGGUAAUCAUACUGCCGAGAAAAUCCGCUAAACUUAAUCCAUACGGAACCCGUACCGCAAACCGACACAGGUAGUCGGGUAGAACAUACUAAGGCGUUGAGAGAUUCACGGUUAAGGAACUAGGCAAACUGACCCCGUAACUUCGGGAUAAGGGGUCCUCCAGCAAUGGAGGCGCAGAGAAUAGGUCCAGGCAACUGUUUAGCAAAAACACAGGGCUGUGCAAACUCGCAAGAUGAGGUAUACAGCCUGACACCUGCCCGGUGCCGGAAGGUUAAGAGGAGAUGUCACCGCAAGGGAAGCAUUGAAUUGAAGCCCCGGUAAACGGCGGCCGUAACUAUAACGGUCCUAAGGUAGCGAAAUUCCUUGUCGGGUAAGUUCCGACCUGCACGAAUGGUGUAAUGAUCCGGACGCUGUCUCAACCGUGAGCUCAGUGAAAUUGUAGUAUCGGUGAAGAUGCCGAUUACCCGCGAUGGGACGAAAAGACCCCGUGAACCUUUACUACAGCUUAGCAUUGACCUUGGUCAUCGGAUGUGUAGGAUAGGCCGGAGGCAUUGAAUCAUGCGCGCCAGCGUGUGUGGAGCCAUCCUUGAAAUACGGCCCUUCUGCUGCCUGAGGUCUAACGCGCUUAGCGCGGACACUGCUUGGUGGGUAGUUUGACUGGGGUGGUCGCCUCCAAAAGCGUAACGGAGGCUUCCAAAGGUGCCCUCGGGCCGAUUGGUAACCGGCCUUAUAGAGUGCAAUGGCAUAAGGGCGCUUGACUGGGAGGCAGACAUGCCGAGCAGGCAGGAAACUGGGGCAUAGUGAUCCGGCGGAUCCGUAUGGAAGGUCCGUCGCUCAAAGGAUAAAAGGUACUCCGGGGAUAACAGGCUGAUCCCCCCCAAGAGCUCAUAUCGACGGGGUGGUUUGGCACCUCGAUGUCGGCUCGUCACAUCCUGGGGCUGGAGAAGGUCCCAAGGGUUGGGCUGUUCGCCCAUUAAAGUGGCACGCGAGCUGGGUUCAGAACGUCGUGAGACAGUUCGGUCUCUAUCUAUCGUGGGCGCAGGAGUCUUGAGGGGACCGGCCACUAGUACGAGAGGACCGUGGUUGACCGACCUCCGGUUUACCGGUUGUGCCGCCAGGUGCACCGCCGGGUAUCCGCGUCGGGUUCGGAUAAGCGCUGAAAGCAUCUAAGUGCGAAGCCGGCCUCAAGAUGAGGACUCCAUUGAGGGUCGUCGAAGACUACGACGUUGAUAGGGUGCAGGUGUAAAGACAGCGAUGUCAAAGCCGAGCACUACUAAUUGCCCGAAAACUUUUGUCU